AUGACAAUAUUAUAAUUUUUUUCUUAUAGAAACGCUAACAAACGAGGCUUUGCACACUUGAGGAACACGAAGGAUCAAUUUUUAUUAGAGGAAUCCCUGUUUAGGAGAUAUUUUCGCUUUCCGAAAUCAUUGUGUUUGGAGCUUAUACAGGAUUUUAAACCUCCCGAUAAUCGUUCGAGGAGGUCAGCUUUUCCUUUUGAGAUUCGUUCGUUUCAGUGCUAAAUUUAUUUUGACAUACCAAUACAUACUGCAUUAGAAAUAGUCAUUUAUCUGCUAUGAGCCAGUCAGGCAUGUCCAGAAAUAUAAGACAAACAUAUGUAUGCAUAUGCAAACUUGUGAUGGAACAUAGAAAUGUGGAAAUAAGUUUCCUAAAUGCAACAGAGCAUUACAAUAUCAUUAAAAGGGGGAAAAGUAUAUACAUAGGAAAUAAUAGGUGAAGUGAAUUAAAACAUGUGUAUAAAAACAUAACUAUAUUUCUAGUUUCUAUAAUAAAUCCGGAAUUAAAGGAGUGAGUGGUGUUAUUGACUGCACUCAUAUUACAAUAAUUGCACCGUUUUCGUCGGCUAAUGUUAUACAACACGUAUCCAUGAACAGAAAGGGCUACUAUAGUAUUAACGUUGAGGCGAUUUUUGAUGACAAACUUAUUUUUCGUAAUUUGAAUGCGCGUUUUCCUGGCUCAUGCCAUGACUCCGGAAUUUAGAGAACAACUCCAGCCAGAAUAAAAGAAUUAAGAGGGUAUGUUUCUGGAUCGUUUUAAUAUUGUAGGUUUUUGAUGACUCAGGAUAUCCACUGAAGCUAUGACAUCUAAUUCCUACACCAAACCCAUAUCUACCAAAUGAAGUUCUUUAUAACAAAAUCCAUAUUAAGGCCAGGAACACUAUUGAAAGAGCAUUUGGAUUUGGAUUGUUAGAUUUUAUUUACUUAUAAAAACGGACUUAUUUAUAUA